rnacentral:tRNA from 2 species
CAGAGAAUAGUUUAAUAAAAAUAUUAAUUUUGGAGAUUAAAGAUAGAAUCUAUUUUCUUUCUCUGA